UACAGAGGUCUCAAGCGUUGUUCGGAUUCAUUGGGCGUAAAGGGUGCGUAGGUGGCGCGGUAAGUCGGGUGUGAAAUCUCGGAGCUUAACUCCGAAAUUGCAUUCGAUACUGCCGUGCUUGAGGACUGGAGAGGAGACUGGAAUUCAUGGUGUAGCAGUGAAAUGCGUAGAGAUCAUGAGGAACACCAGUGGCGAAGGCGGGUCUCUGGACAGUUCCUGACACUGAGGCACGAAGGCCAGGGGAGCAAACGGG
rnacentral:rRNA from 1 species